rnacentral:snRNA from 1 species
UCUCUAUAGCAGCACACAGACUGAAACUGGAAUGACACAAAGAACAUAAGCAUAGUCCCUGUGCAAGGAUGGCACAAAAAAAGGAGA